rnacentral:rRNA from 1 species
GACAGAGGGGGCAAGCGUUGCUCGGAAUUACUGGGCGUAAAGAGUGCGUAGGUGGUGCCCUAAGUCUGUUGUGAAAUCUCCCGGCUUAACUGGGAGGGUGCGGUGGAAACUGGGGUGCUUGAGUGUGGGAGAGGUAAGCGGAAUUCCUGGUGUAGCGGUGAAAUGCGUAGAUAUCAGGAGGAACACCGGUGGUGUAGACGGCUUACUGGACCACGACUGACACUGAGGCACGAAAGCGUGGGUAGCAAACAGG